rnacentral:rRNA from 1 species
GUAGGUGGCAAGCGUUGUCCGGAAUUAUUGGGGCGUAAAGCGCGCGCAGGCGGUUCUUUAAGUCUGAUGUGAAAGCCCACGGGCUCAACCGUGGAGGGUCAUUGGAAACUGGAGAACUUGAGUACAGAAGAGGAAAGCGGAAUUCCACGUGUGGCGGUGAAAUGCGUAGAGAUGUGGAGGAACACCAGUGGCGAAGGCGGCUUUCUGGUCUGUAACUGACGCUGAGGCGCGAAAGCGUGGGGAGCAGACAGGAUUAGAUACCCUGGUAGUCCACGCCGUAAACGAUGAGUGCUAAGUGUUAGGGGGUUUCCGCCCCUUAGUGCUGCAGCUAACGCAUUAAGCACUCCGCCUGGGGAGUACGGCCGCAAAGGCUG